GCCUGAUCCAGCAACGCCGCGUGGAGGAUGAAGGCUUUCGGGUUGUAAACUCCUGUCAGGUGGGACGAAGGGGCUCCGGUCAAUAACCGGGUGUCUUUGACGGUACCACCGGAGGAAGCCCCGGCUAACUCCGUGCCAGCAGCCGCGGUAAUACGGAGGGGGCAAGCGUUAUUCGGAAUUAUUGGGCGUAAAGGGCGCGUAGGCGGCCUGGCAAGUCAGGGGUGAAAUCCCUCGGCUCAACCGAGGAACUGCCUCUGAAACUGUCUGGCUUGAGGCCGGGAGAGGGUAGUGGAAUCCCCAGUGUAGCGGUGAAAUGCGUAGAUAUUGGGAGGAACACCGGUGGCGAAGGCGGCUACCUGGACCGGUUCUGACGCUGAGGCGCGAAAGUGUGGGUAGCAAACAGGAUUAGAUACCCUGGUAGUCCACACCGUAAACGAUGAGCACUCGGUGCCGCGGGUGUCGACCCCUGCGGUGCCUUAGGAAACCCGUUAAGUGCUCCGCCUGGGGAGUACGGUCGCAAGGCUGAAACUCAAAGGA
rnacentral:rRNA from 1 species